AUUGAACGCUGGCGGCAGACCUAACACAUGCAAGUCGAGCGGAUGAAGGGAGCUUGCUCCUGGAUUCAGCGGCGGACGGGUGAGUAAUGCCUAGGAAUCUGCCUGGUAGUGGGGGAUAACGUCCGGAAACGGGCGCUAAUACCGCAUACGUCCUGAGGGAGAAAGUGGGGGAUCUUCGGACCUCACGCUAUCAGAUGAGCCUAGGUCGGAUUAGCUAGUUGGUGGGGUAAAGGCCUAGCAAGGCGACGAUCCGUAACUGGUCUGAGAGGAUGAUCAGUCACACUGGAACUGAGACACGGUCCAGACUCCUACGGGAGGCAGCAGUGGGGAAUAUUGGACAAUGGGCGAAAGCCUGAUCCAGCCAUGCCGCGUGUGUGAAGAAGGUCUUCGGAUUGUAAAGCACUUUAAGUUGGGAGGAAGGGCAGUAAGUUAAUACCUUGCUGUUUUGACGUUACCAACAGAAUAAGCACCGGCUAACUUCGUG
rnacentral:rRNA from 1 species